rnacentral:rRNA from 1 species
AUUGAACGCUGGCGGCAGGCCUAACACAUGCAAGUCGAACGAGUGGCGGACGGGUGAGUAAUGUCUGGGAAACUGCCUGAUGGAGGGGGAUAACUACUGGAAAAGGUAGCUAAUACCGCAUACCAUCAGAUGUGCCCGGAGGGGAUUAGCUAGGAGGUGGGGUAAUGGCUCACCUAGGCGACGAUCCCUAGCUGGUCUGAGAGGAGGACCAGCCACACUGGAACUGAGACACGGUCCAGACUCCGACGUGAGGCAGCAGGGGGGAAUAUUGCAAAAUGGGCGAAAGCCUGAUGCAGCCAUGCCGCGUGUGUGAAGAAGGCCUUCGGGUUGUAAAGCACUUGCAGCGAGGAGGCGUUACUCGCAGAAGAAGCACCGGCUAACUCCGUGCCAGCAGCCGCGGUAAUUC